UCUAACGUAUUGGUCAGUGGUGUGUAGAUAUAUUGGCAAUCACGUUUUAUUCUGUUUUUAUGUUUUGUUACGGAUGUACUUUUUAUGUGUACUAUACUAUUAAUGUAGAUGCGUGCCGAGAAAAUAACCCUAUUGGCGACUGUUACAAAACCUUUGAAGCCGCUGUUUUACCUAAUUUUGAAAACAAGGCAGCAGUUUGUCCAGCAUACAGAAAUUAUAUCAACUGUACAGAGGGUGUGGCCUGUUUGUGUGGGUUGAAAACAUCCUCAGUAAUCCUUCAAGGAGUAACGUUUGCUCAUGGAAAUUACAAUGAUAUAGGUUGUGAAGCGGUAAGUGGUAAAUUAGAAAGAGUAGCAGGGAUUCAAUGUCCAGCUGGCUAUCCAUCAUCUGGGAAUACAUCAGAUGAAAUUCUAACAACCCUUGGUCUGUUGGACGCUCCUGUUGUCAUUGGUCAUAUCGGCAAGUGUCCGGCUUCAGAAGAUUGUUACAAAAAGGCUGAUAACACUACAGCUAAAGCACUGCACGAAAAAGAUGCCCCUGCUCUUUGUCAAUCUCAAAGUGAUUUUAUCCACUGUUGGGAACAGGCAUUGUGUAAAUGUAAUCGGUAUACAGAUGUAGAAUAUCAAAAUUGGUUAACACAACAAAAGAACAUUCAUUUACAGUUAUGUAGAGCGGAUUCCUCCAUUACUGUUACCUAUCAAUGCGACUCAUCCGCCAUGGCUAGUGUAUCUGUGUUGAGUGUAUUAUUGUUUACGUUAGCCACGUUUUUGUUUUAAUUUCUUAAUUCCUCAAAUGUCAACUUAUGUUUUAAUGUUAGAACCUUUCCGAUGAAUAUUAAAUUACGACAUCUUUAGAAUAACUAACAUUUAUAUAAAUCAUAAUAUAGUAAACGUGAUCAGUCGACCUAUUAACAAUCCAUCCUCUGGUUUAAUAUUUUCCUGAAACCAAUGUCAAGGCCAGUAAUACGGCUAUG